rnacentral:piRNA from 1 species
UUAAUGCCUUUUAACUGCUGACACCCUCUG